GAUUAACAGGGGAAGAAUUAGGAAAGAGGACACGCAAGACCACAGUAAGAGAUGGAAAUAAGAGAAUAUUCCUGAUUUCCACUGGAUGACUUUGACUGGUAUGAUUUCAUUCUCUGAAAGUGUUAACCAGGGUGCAGCAUGGCCAGAAACCAUUCCGAGCCUCAUGAAGUGGGCAAGUCAGGUUUGGUCAUUUUUGUUCUACUGGCUUUGAAGAAGCAAGCUGCUAUGAUGUAAACUGACUAUGGAGAAGGCCACGUGACAGGGAAUUGGGUGUAGACUCUAGGAACUGAGGUCUUAAUCCUACAACUGCAAGGGGAUUAAAGUCUACCAACAACCACCUGGGCUUGGAAGAGGACCGCUGAUCUCCAGAUGAGAACGGAGCCUGACCAACACCUUGAGUGCCACCUUGUGAGACUCUGAGCAAAGACCCAGCUAAGCCACACUUAGACUCUUGACGUACAGAAAAUGUGAGAUAAGGAAUGCAGAAGAGGAGAAGGAAGAGGAGAGGUUGUUCCUCUCAGGGGUGGCAGAUGUGGAAGAAA
rnacentral:lncRNA from 1 species